GACGAACGCUGGCGGCGCGCCUAACACAUGCAAGUCGAACGAGCGAGAGAGAGCUUGCUUUCUCGAGCGAGUGGCGAACGGGUGAGUAACGCGUGAGGAACCUGCCUCAAAGAGGGGGACAACAGUUGGAAACGACUGCUAAUACCGCAUAAGCCCACGGCUCGGCAUCGAGCAGAGGGAAAAGGAGCAAUCCGCUUUGAGAUGGCCUCGCGUCCGAUUAGCUAGUUGGUGAGGUAACGGCCCACCAAGGCAACGAUCGGUAGCCGGACUGAGAGGUUGAACGGCCACAUUGGGACUGAGACACGGCCCAGACUCCUACGGGAGGCAGCAGUGGGGAAUAUUGCACAAUGGGGGAAACCCUGAUGCAGCGACGCCGCGUGGAGGAAGAAGGUCUGCGGAUUGUAAACUCCUGUUGUUGGGGAAGAUAAUGACGGUACCCAACAAGGAAGUGACGGCUAACUACGUGCCAGCAGCCGCGGUAAAACGUAGGUCACAAGCGUUGUCCGGAAUUACUGGGUGUAAAGGGAGCGCAGGCGGGAAGACAAGUUGGAAGUGAAAUCUAUGGGCUCAACCCAUAAACUGCUUUCAAAACUGUUUUUCUUGAGUAGUGCAGAGGUAGGCGGAAUUCCCGGUGUAGCGGUGGAAUGCGUAGAUAUCGGGAGGAACACCAGUGGCGGAGGCGGCCUACUGGGCACCAACUGACGCUGAGGCUCGAAAGUGUGGGUAGCAAACAGGAUUAGAUACCCUGGUAGUCCACACCGUAAACGAUGAUUACUAGGUGUUGGAGGAUUGACCCCUUCAGUGCCGCAGUUAACACAAUAAGUAAUCCACCUGGGGAGUACGACCGCAAGGUUGAAACUCAAAGGAAUUGACGGGGGCCCGCACAAGCAGUGGAGUAUGUGGUUUAAUUCGACGCAACGCGAAGAACCUUACCAAGUCUUGACAUCCCUUGACAGGCAUAGAAAUAUGUUUUCUCUUCGGAGCAAGGAGACAGGUGGUGCAUGGUUGUCGUCAGCUCGUGUCGUGAGAUGUUGGGUUAAGUCCCGCAACGAGCGCAACCCUUAUGGUCAGUUACUACGCAAGAGGACUCUGGCCAGACUGCCGUUGACAAAACGGAGGAAGGUGGGGAUGACGUCAAAUCAUCAUGCCCUUUAUGACUUGGGCUACACACGUACUACAAUGGCGUUAAACAAAGAGAAGCAAGACCGCGAGGUGGAGCAAAACUCAGAAACAACGUCCCAGUUCGGACUGCAGGCUGCAACUCGCCUGCACGAAGUCGGAAUUGCUAGUAAUCGUGGAUCAGCAUGCCACGGUGAAUACGUUCCCGGGCCU
rnacentral:rRNA from 1 species